UACAGAGGGGGCAAGCGUUGUUCGGAAUUACUGGGCGUAAAGGGCGCGUAGGCGGCCCGCUAAGUCGAACGUGAAAUCCCCGGGCUCAACCCGGGAACUGCGUCCGAUACUGGUGGGCUUGAAUUCGGGAGAGGGAUGCGGAAUUCCAGGUGUAGCGGUGAAAUGCGUAGAUAUCUGGAGGAACACCGGUGGCGAAGGCGGCUCUCUGGACCUGUCCUGACGCUCAGGCGCGAAAGCUAGGGGAGCAAACAGGG
rnacentral:rRNA from 1 species